UACGGCCGUAAUUCAUUGUAUCGAAAAAAGAUAGCAGGGUAGAUACAACACCCUUGCUUGACCCCAACACAAAUAUGGAAUUGUCUGUGAAAACGAUAAAUAAAAAAAAUUAAAUGAAGAAAAGAUGGACACUAAAACUUUGAAAUGUGCUUCGUUCUAUGUGAUAAUUAUUUCGGUCAUUGGGGGAAUUUAUUGCAGUCAUUUUUCACGGAUGAGAACGAGGCAAAAUAACGCAAGAAGGCAAAAUUUAGCUGAUACAGUAUUAAGGAACAGUUUAACAUACGAAGCAAUCAUCUUAGAGCUACUGAAGAGAAGACUUGGAAUUACACGACAGCAGACGAUUGUAACCAAUCCAGUGACUGUUAGUUUACCAGACAAUUUUAUUCAAGAAAAUAUACAGACAAUUAGAAAUAAGCGUCCACAUCUUCAGACAUCUAGGAAUACACGACCUCCUCCACACAAAACCAUGACCACUCGACCACCCACACAGUCAUUCAGGAACACCCGACCGCCCACACAGUCAUCCAGGAACACCAGACCACCCCCGCAGUCAUUCAGGAACACCCGACCACCAACGCAGUCAUUCAGGAACAUCCGACCACCAACGCAAAGUAGAAACAUAAUUCAUUCAACAAAGCCACCACCUCAAACAGGAAUAAGAAAUUUAAACAAUAACCAAGUUGCUGAUCAAAUUUAUGAAUAUAAUAUAAUCAAGAACUAUUUUGGAGGCCACACACUAAAAGGACUAUUAAACGAGUUAUUUUAGUGAAAUAUUGGUGUUUUAACAGUAAGAAUAAAACUGGUCAGUUUGUGUCUUUUCUUCCAA